GCCCGGGUGGCGGAAUUGGUAGACGCGCUGGACUUAAAAUCCAGUGGUCAUUUGACCGUGCGGGUUCAAGUCCCGCCCCGGGUA
rnacentral:tRNA from 1 species